CAAACAUGGCUACCAGCCCCAGCUUUGCAUCAUUUCCAAUUCUAAGGCUGCUAUAGACUCACUGAGUCUCUGCAUGGCCAUGCCUCUGAGUCCCAAAUCCAAAUCCUUCUAAGAGAGAAUCUGACUAGUUCCAUUUGGGUUAGGUAUCCACUGGGCUGACUCCUAAGGCUGGCUGCCCAUUUAGCAAGAGUUUUUAGGGCAGAAUCUCUGAGAAGGAGUAUUGGGGUAGGAGGAAUGAUUGGCAAAGGAAAUGAUUUAAGAAACACAAUGGCAAUUUCUUAGCAAAUUUUCUUUGCCUCUGUCUGUUAUAUAAUUACAUGUACAUUUUAGUUCCUUGAAACAGACAAGAAAAUACUGUAAAAAGAUGCAAAAAUCACCUCAGAGAUGUGAAUACAUUAAUCCACUAGCACCUAUUUUAAGAUUCUAUUACCAAAGAAUCAGGUUAAUCAGUCAAUAACCUAUCCAGCCAGUAACCAUAGCCUACCAAGUCCCUGAAGAGAAACUGUGAAGGACAAAUAAAGCAUAAUUGUAGUUAAGGAGGAGAAUGUGUGACAGAUGAAGGUUACUGGGUGCCCACAAGCCUGACCUGUUUUCACUCAUUAUACAUCCAAACCCCCUCCCAUGCUGUGUCUUUGUACAUGGACAUAUUUAUCCUCUUCUUUGCCAUGCUAACUCCUAUUCUCUCUACAGUACUCGUGGGUUUAAUUGUAUCCCCCCAAAAGAUAUGCUGAAGGCUGCUCUGCCUAUGGAGUAGCCAUUCUUUUGUUUCUUUACUUCUCUGAUAAACUUGCUUUCACUUAAAAAAAAAAAAGAUAUGUUGAAAUCCUAACCCCAGGUACCUAUGAAUAUAACCUUAUUUGGAAAUAUUUUCAGAUGUGAUCAAAAAUUGAUCAAGUUAAGAUGAAGUCAUACAGGAUUAUGGCAGGCUCUAAAUCCAAUGACUGGUGUCUUUACAAGGAGGCUGAGAUUUGGUGACCAGAAACACACAGGGAAGAAGUCUAUGUGACAAUGGGGGCAGAGAUGAGAGUGAUGCAGCUACAAGGCAAAGGACACAAAGGAUUGCCAGUAGCUACCAGAGAGAGCCAUAGGAAGAGGUAGUGUCUCAUCUGCCUCUGGACAUUGUCUGGUCUGGAUGUGAGAUGUAAAACUGCUGCA
rnacentral:lncRNA from 10 species